rnacentral:rRNA from 1 species
AUUGAACGCUGGCGGCAUGCUUUACACAUGCAAGUCGAACGGUAACAGGUUAAGCUGACGAGCGGCGAACGGGUGAGUAAUGCAUCGGAACGUGCCCGGUCGUGGGGGAUAACGCAGCGAAAGCUGCGCUAAUACCGCAUACGAUCUGAGGAUGAAAGCGGGGGACCGUAAGGCCUCGCGCGAUCGGAGCGGCCGAUGUCAGAUUAGGUAGUUGGUGGGGUAAAGGCUCACCAAGCCAACGAUCUGUAGCUGGUCUGAGAGGACGACCAGCCACACUGGGACUGAGACACGGCCCAGACUCCUACGGGAGGCAGCAGUGGGGAAUUUUGGACAAUGGGCGAAAGCCUGAUCCAGCAAUGCCGCGAGCAGGAAGAAGGCCUUCGGGUUGUAAACUGCUUUUGUACGGAGCGAAAAGGUCUCCUCUAAUACAGGGGGCUCAUGACGGUACCGUAAGAAUAAGCGCCGGCUAACUACGUGCCAGCAGCCGCAGUAA